GAUGAACGCUGGCGGUAUGCUUAACACAUGCAAGUCGAACGGUACCUUCGGGUAUAGUGGCGGACGGGUGAGUAACGCGUGAGAAUCUAUCUUCAGGUCGGGGACAACAGUUAGAAAUGACUGCUAAUACCGGAUGUGCCGAAAGGUAAAAGAUUUAUUGCCUGAAAAAGAGCUCGCGUCAGAUUAGCUAGUAGGUGGUGUAAGAGACUACCUAGGCUUCGAUCUGUAGCUGGUCUGAGAGGACGAUCAGCCACACUGGAACUGAGACACGGUCCAGACUCCGCCGGGAGGCAGGAGUGGGGAAUUGCCCGCGAUGGGCGAAAGCCUGACGGAGAAAUGCCGCGUGAGAGACGCACGUUCUUGGGUCUAAAACCUUUUUCCCGAAGGAAUAUUCAGACGUUACUUGAGGAAUAACCAUCGUUCAACUCGGUCCCAGCAGCCGAGGUAAUAAUCGGAACAGCACACGCCUAAAC
rnacentral:rRNA from 1 species